rnacentral:lncRNA from 1 species
CAGAUUUAAUAAAAUGCAGCAAGAUAUUAAGCAACCAAAGAUCAUCUCAACACUUUGUUUCCUCUCUUCUUCACCAGGUUAAGAAUACUAGAAGAUGUAGCAAUCAACACUGUAAAACAUUAAAAGUUCCUAUAUUCAUGAGUAGAAUACAGGAAAACGAAUCAAUUAUCACAGAACUUGAGAAUUACAGUCUUAUAUCAACAAAACACAUAAACCGUAGCUCUGCUAGUUACCUUGAGAAUACGUAGAAAACGUGAAACACUCUGCUUGAUUAACCGUUGCUUGAAUUAAAGAUCACAUUUUACUAAAAUCCAAAGCAAUUAAUUAACCUGCAAAUAUUUAUCAAGCAACUAAAACAUCAAAGAUGCAAUCAAAUUCAACCCAUUGUCAACUGCACUAGCAAAUGAUCAAUGGAGGAAAAGAAAAUCUAACCUUGAAUUUAUCUUCAGCAGCAUCGAGGCGGCGCUGCCGCUGAGUCGCUUAUGUUGCUUCCCGUUGUCGAGCAGCUUCCUGGUUGACCUUUCUCUCUCUAUCUAGCUUGAGCUUCGCCCUCUGUUUUCUCUCCCUCUGCUCCUUCUCCAGCUUCUCUCUUGCUCUCCUCAAUUCAAAAUCCAUUACACAAAUUAGGAAAAUGAACAAAAAACCCAUAUAUUUUCAAACAAAAAAUUGAUCAAUCUCGACUACAAUCAAAACCGAAAAACAAAGAAAAGAAAUUCAAUACCUAGUUUUGAUUUCGCUUGGUGAGAGGCGUGAGUUCUAACUCAUCCACCACCGAACUUAGACAAAAAGCUCCGGUCUGGUCUGGUCUUGAAGGAAUCAAGUUCUGACCGGCAACUCCGGGUUGGACAUAGGCGGCCGAGGGCAGGAAUCUGCAAUAAGGUAAGGAAAUAGGUAGCCGAGGGCGGGAAUCCCCGACGAAAGAAGCGGCGGG